rnacentral:rRNA from 1 species
AUUGAACGCUGGCGGCAGGCUUAACACAUGCAAGUCGAGCGAGCGGCGGACGGGUGAGUAAUGUCUGGGAAACUGCCUGAUGGAGGGGGAUAACUACUGGAAACGGUAGCUAAUACCGCAUACCAUCAGAUUUGCCCAGAUGGGAUUAGCUAGUAGGUGGGGUAAUGGCUCACCUGGGCGACGAUCCCUAGCUGGUCUGAGAGGAUGACCAGCAAAACGGGAACUGGGACACGGUCCAGACUCCAACGGGAGGCAGCAGUGGGGAAUAGUGCACAAUGGGCGCAAGCCUGAUGCAGCCAUGCCGGGUGUGUGAAGAAGGCCUUCGGGUUGUAAAGCACUUUCAGCGAGGAGGCGUUACUCGCAGAAGAAGCACCGGCUAACUCCGUGCCAGCAGCCGCGGUAAUUC